GCGCACCAGUCGAGAAACCUUUACAAUGUCUUCACGGACGAUAGGGGAAUCCUGAGUGCUCUAGCAUUGCUAGAGCUUUUGCUUACUGAAAAAGGUAGGCGAAUAAGUGGUGGGUAAGACGGGUGCCAGCCGCGCGGUAAUACCCGCGCCACAAGUGGUGACCACGUUUAUUGGGUCUAAAGCGCUCGUAGCCGGGCCUGAUAAAUUCUCGGUGAAAUCCUGUGUAAAUCAUAGGGCGUGCCGGGAAGACUGUCAAGCUAGGAACCCGGGAGAGGCUGAGGGGUACUCC
rnacentral:rRNA from 1 species